GAUCCGUUGGUGAACCAGCGGAGGGAUCAUUACAGAGUUUUCACAACUCCCAACCCUUGCGAACCGUACCCAUUCUGUUCUCGUUGCUUCCGGCGGGGGGGACGGGGGGGCCCGAAACGGCCUCCCCGCCCCGCCCGCCGGGGGCGGCGGGCCCUACGAACCUUUAUAUCUCAACCACCAGAAACCGUCUGAGAAAACAAACAAAAUAGCCAAAACUUUCAACAACGGAUCUCUUGGCUCUG
rnacentral:misc_RNA from 1 species